rnacentral:rRNA from 1 species
UACGUAGGGUGCGAGCGUUAAUCGGAAUUACUGGGCGUAAAGCGUGCGCAGGCGGUUUUGUAAGCCAGAUGUGAAAUCCCCGGGCUUAACCUGGGAAUGGCAUUUGGGACUGCAAGGCUGGAGUGCGGCAGAGGAGACUGGAAUUCCUGGUGUAGCAGUGAAAUGCGUAGAUAUCCGGAGGAAUACCGAUGGCGAAGGCAGGUCUCUGGGCUGACACUGACGCUCAUGCACGAAAGCGUGGGGAGCAAACAGG